CAUACAAACAUCAUCAGUUCGAAUAAAUUUUUGAACACUCUACAAUUUCAAUUGUAAAACUGAGUCAUGUCACUCUUGAAAAUUUCGUUCUUCGUGAUGGCUGCUGUCGUCGCAUGUAUUUCCUCCACCGAGGGAGCACCUGCGCCUAUGAACGGGCAAGGGUGUCCACCUGACUGGAAACUUUUCUUCUGUUGAGACCACUGGAGUUACAGGACAGCCGGAAAAAUAGGACUGGUCUACUUUAUCAACCGUCGCAACUUUUAUUCUUCAAUUUCCAAAAUCAAUUAUUCAAAAUUGUUUAUGUAACACUGUUGAUAAAUUCUGUAGAUGAAUUCGAAUAAAAAAUUAUAUACUCUCA